GUGGGGAAUAUUGGACAAUGGGGGCAACCCUGAUCCAGCCAUGCCGCGUGAGUGAAGAAGGCCUUAGGGUUGUAAAGCUCUUUCGCCGGUGAAGAUAAUGACGGUAACCGGAGAAGAAGCCCCGGCUAACUUCGUGCCAGCAGCCGCGGUAAUACGAAGGGGGCUAGCGUUGUUCGGAAUUACUGGGCGUAAAGCGCACGUAGGCGGAUUGUUAAGUCGGGGGUGAAAUCCCAGGGCUCAACCCUGGAACUGCCUCCGAUACUGGCAUUCUUGAGUCCGAGAGAGGUGAGUGGAAUUCCGAGUGUAGAGGUGAAAUUCGUAGAUAUUCGGAAGAACACCAGUGGCGAAGGCGGCUCACUGGCUCGGUACUGACGCUGAGGUGCGAAAGCGUGGGGAGCAAACAGGAUUAGAAACCCCAGUAGUCC
rnacentral:rRNA from 1 species